rnacentral:misc_RNA from 1 species
GAUGAAGAACGCAGCGAAAUGCGAUAAGUAAUGUGAAUUGCAGAAUUCAGUGAAUCAUCGAAUCUUUGAACGCACCUUGCGCUCCUUGGUAUUCCGAGGAGCAUGCCUGUUUGAGUGUCAUUAAUAUAUCAACCUCUUCAGCUUAUGCUUGUUGAGUGUUGGAUGGUGGGGGUUUGCUGGUGUCUUAUGAAGUCAGCUCCUCUGAAAUGCAUUAGCGGAACAAUUUGUUGACCGUUCAUUGGUGUGAUAAAAAUAUCUACGCUAUUGACGUCAGUCAGUUCAGCUUCUAACAGUCCAUUGACUUGGACAAAUUUUUCAUUAAUGUGACCUCAAAUCAGGAAGGACUACCCGCUGAACUUAAGCAUAUCAAUAAGCGGAGGA